UACGAAGGGUGCAAACGUUGCUCGGAAUCAUUGGGCGUAAAGCGCACGUAGGCGCCUCGCAAGUCGGAUGUGAAAUACCUAGGCUCAACCAAGGACGUGCAUCCGAAACUGCAAGGCUUGAGUACAGAAGAGGAUCGCGGAAUUCCCGGUGUAGAGGUGAAAUUCGUAGAUAUCGGGAGGAACACCAGUGGCGAAGGCGGCGAUCUGGGCUGAGUACUGACGCUGAGGUGCGAAAGCGUGGGGGAGCGAACAGG
rnacentral:rRNA from 1 species